rnacentral:rRNA from 1 species
GUGGGGAAUCUUAGACAAUGGGGGAAACCCUGAUCUAGCCAUGCCGCGUGAGCGAUGAAGGCCUUAGGGUUGUAAAGCUCUCUCAGCUGGGAAGAUAAUGACGGUACCAGCAGAAGAAGCCCCGGCUAACUCCGUGCCAGCAGCCGCGGUAAUACGGAGGGGGCUAGCGUUGUUCGGAAUUACUGGGCGUAAAGCGCGCGUAGGCGGACCAGAAAGUUGGAGGUGAAAUCCCAGGGCUCAACCUUGGAACUGCCUUCAAAACUCCUGGUCUGGAGUUCGAGAGAGGUGAGUGGAAUUCCGAGUGUAGAGGUGAAAUUCGUAGAUAUUCGGAGGAACACCAGUGGCGAAGGCGGCUCACUGGCUCGAUACUGACGCUGAGGUGCGAAAGCGUGGGGAGCAAACAGGAUUAGAUACCCCAGUAGUCC